GGAGGAGUGGCCGAGUGGUCGAAGGCAGCGGUUUUGAAAACCGCCGUACCGCAAGGUACCGGGGGUUCGAAUCCCUUCUCCUCCGC
rnacentral:tRNA from 1 species